CCUACGUGUGGCAGCAGUGAGGAAUAUUGGUCAAUGGACGAGAGUCUGAACCAGCCAAGUAGCGUGAAGGAUGACUGCCCUAUGGGUUGUAAACUUCUUUUAUAUGGGAAUACAACAGGGUAUGCAUACCAUCUUGUAUGUACCAUAUGAAUACGGAUCGGCUAAGUCCGUGCCAGCAGCCGCGGUAAUACCGAGGAUCCGAGCGUUAUCCGGAUUUAUUGGGUUUAAAGGGAGCGUAGGUGGAUUUUUAAGUAAGUUGUGAAAGUUUGGGGCUCAACCGUAAAAUUGCAGUUGAAACUGGCAGUCUUGAGUACAGUAGAGGUGAGCGGAAUUCGGGGUGUAGCGGUGAAAUGCUUAGAUAUCUCGAAGAACUCCGAUUGCGAAGGCAGCUCACUGGACUGCAACUGACACUGAUGCUCGAAAGUGUGGGUAUCAAACAGGAUUAGAUACCCGAGUAGUC
rnacentral:rRNA from 1 species